rnacentral:rRNA from 1 species
GACGAACGCUAGCUACAGGCUUAACACAUGCAAGUCGAGGGACCGGCGCACGGGUGCGUAACACGUAUCCAACCUGCACUUUACCCGGGGAUAGCCUUUCGACAGAAAAAUUAAUACCAGAUCUUAAGGAUGGGGAUGCGUUCCAUUAGGUUGUUGGUGAGGUAACGGCUCACCAAGCCUUCGAUGGAUAGGGGUUCUGAGAGGGAGGGCCCCCAGAUUUGAACUGAGACACGGUCCAAACUCAUACGGGAGGCAGCAGUGAGGAAGAUUGGGAAAUGGGCGGUAGCCUGAACCAGCCAAGGAGCGUGAAGGAUGAAGGGUUAUGGGUCGUAAACUUCUUUUAUAUAAGAAGAGGUAUGAUAUGAAUAAGGAUCGGCUAACUCCGUGCCAGCAGCCGCGGUAAUUC